rnacentral:rRNA from 1 species
AUACGGAGGGUGCGAGCGUUGUUCGGAAUUAUUGGGCGUAAAGAGCAUGUAGGCGGUCUGUUAAGUCUGGUGUGAAAGCCCGGGGCUCAACCCCGGAAGUGCAUUGGAUACUGGCAGACUUGAGUAUGGGAGAGGAAAGCGGAAUUCCGAGUGUAGGAGUGAAAUCCGUAGAUAUUCGGAGGAACACCAGUGGCGAAGGCGGAUUUCUGGACCAAUACUGACGCUGAGAUGCGAAAGCGUGGGGAGCAAACAGGAUUAGAAACCCCGGUAGUCC